rnacentral:lncRNA from 1 species
GGAAGCUGUGGGUGGAGACACAUCUGACGGGAGGGAUUUGGAUCCUGCCAGCUCGUCCCUGCAACCCCCUACUCCGGUCCCCUCAAACCUGUCCGUGGCUGGCAGCCCUGUGAUACCUCGCCACAUUCUGCAACAGAAUCCGAGAUAGAGGUAGAAGUGGGGGAGUACGUCGUGGCUGUCAGGGCAGCUUUCUGUAAAAUGCUGCCUGGAGGAGCAUGUGAUUCCAGACCCUCCUCUCUGCAACGAAAGUGAGGUUGACACCUGCAGGCCUGGGGCCUCCUGGCCCACUGAGCAGAACACACAGAAGCUGGGCCCACCCCUGCCCUCCCCACAAAGGGUCACGGGAGCCACCGCCUGACUUUGAAGCCCACUGACUUGCGGCUGACAAGAGAAAAGAAUGUGCCCCUGUGAUCAUGUGAAAGCAUCAGCCAGGGGUCCAAGAACUUCCCUCUGGAGCCUCACACUCCCAGCGUGGCACCCAGCAGGGAACAGAUUCUCUCCAAACCUUUGUGAAUGAAUGAAGGAUGACGUCACUAGAAUCCAUCCCUGUUUUAUUUUUUAUUUUUAUUUUUUGAGACAGAGUCUCGCUCUGUUGUUGCCCAGGCUGGAGUGCGGUGGCACAAUCUCAGCUCACUACAACCUCCGCCUCCCCGGUUCAAGUGAUUCUCCUGCCUCAACCUCCUGAGUAGCUGGGAUUACAGGCACCCAUCACCACGCCUGGCUAAUUUUUGUGUGUGUUUAGUACAGACGGGGUUUCACCACGUUGGCCAGACUGGUCUUGAACUCCUGACCUCAGGUGAUCCGCCUGCCUCGGCCUCCCAAAGUGUUGGGAUUACAGGCGUGAGCCACCACGCCCAUGCCCAUCCCCAUUUUAUAGACAAGGAUACCAAGGCUCAGAGAGGGGAAGCCACUUGCCAAGGACGCACAGGAGGACACCAGUGAGCAGGACCUCUGGUCUGUCUGGGAGGCCACUGGGCCUCUUCCCAGAGUCUCUGCUUGGUGAGCCAGGAUUUUACACCCGCCUUGGGCCCAGUGGGCUGAGAGGACAUGGGCUGGGGUGUCGGAAGCUGCAGAGCUGAUCCCUCCUGCUUGGCUGGAGGCUUGCAGACCCGGCAGGCAGGCUCGGGAGGCAGCGGGCGACUUGAAAAUGCACUCCCUACCACAGGCUCAAGAGUGACGGCGCCUGUCAGGGACCGGGAGGCAGGGCCUGUCUUUUCCUGCUGUUUUAUUGCCUUCAAAGUCUGGACCAAGUGGUUUCUGGAUGGAGUCACGGUAACCUCACGUCUAUUCAAGCAAUUCGUUCAUUGUUUCAUUUAGUAAAAUACCCACAAAACAAGGAAGAACACCUUGGCGGUGCCUCUGAUCCCCCCAUUUGUCUGCAAAUCGGAAAAGCAUGAUUCCAUCGAUCUCCUGUUUA